rnacentral:rRNA from 1 species
GCCUCAGUAACGGCGAGUGAAGCGGCAAGAGCUCAAAUUUGAAAGCUGGCCCCUUCGGGGUCCGCGUUGUAAUUUGCAGAGGAUGCUUCGGGUGCAGCCCCCGUCUAAGUGCCCUGGAACGGGCCGUCAUAGAGGGUGAGAAUCCCGUCUGGGACGGGGUGUCUGCGUCCGUGUGAAGCUCCUUCGACGAGUCGAGUUGUUUGGGAAUGCAGCUCUAAAUGGGUGGUAAAUUUCAUCUAAAGCUAAAUACUGGCCGGAGACCGAUAGCGCACAAGUAGAGUGAUCGAAAGAUGAAAAGCACUUUGAAAAGAGAGUUAAACAGCACGUGAAAUUGUUGAAAGGGAAGCGUUUGCGACCAGACUCGCCCGCGGGGUUCAGCCGGCAUUCGUGCCGGUGUACUUCCCCGUGGGCGGGCCAGCGUCGGUUUGGGCGGCCGGUCAAAGGCCCUCGGAAUGUAUCAC